GACGAACGCUGGCGGCGUGCCUAACACAUGCAAGUCGAGCGAGAAAAUCUCCUUCGGGAGAUGAGUAAAGCGGCGAACGGGUGAGUAACACGUGAGCGAUCUACCCGGCGGCGGGGGAUAACUCAGGGAAACCUGAGCUAAUACCGCAUACAGCACCGGCUUGGAAGCCGGAUGUGAAAGUUGGCCUCUCGAAGAAGCUGACACCGUCGGAUGAGCUCGCGGCCUAUCAGCUAGUUGGUGGGGUAACGGCCUACCAAGGCGAUGACGGGUAGCUGGCGUGAGAGCGUGGCCAGCCACACUGGGACUGAGACACGGCCCAGACUCCUACGGGAGGCAGCAGUGGGGAAUAUUGCGCAAUGGGCGAAAGCCUGACGCAGCGACGCCGCGUGGGGG
rnacentral:rRNA from 1 species